ensembl:snoRNA
UUCCAGAGUGUUGAGUUCAGUUCAGGGCAGCUUCCCUGUUCUGUUAAUUAAACUUUGGGAUAUUGAAACACAGGCUAAGAGGAAUGAGUGGAUGGAAAGCAUUACUCUAUUCAUAUACCACCUGGCCUAAGAUA